rnacentral:rRNA from 1 species
UACAGAGGGUGCAAGCGUUGAUCGGAAUUACUGGGCGUAAAGCGUGCGUAGACGGUUGCGUAAGUCAGAUGUGAAAGCCCCGGGCUCAACCUGGGAAUUGCAUUUGAGACUGCGCAGCUAGGGUGCGGAAGAGGGAAGCGGAAUUUCCGGUGUAGCGGUGAAAUGCGUAGAUAUCGGAAGGAACACCAGUGGCGAAAGCGGCUUCCUGGUCCAGCACCGACGUUCAGGCGCGAAAGCGUGGGGAGCGAACAGG